ACGAACGCUGGCGGCGUGCUUAACACAUGCAAGUCGCACGGUGAAGCUCCAGCUUGCUGGAGUGGAUCAGUGGCGAACGGGUGAGUAACACGUGAGCAACCUGCCCCUGACUCUGGAAUAAGCGCUGGAAACGGCGUCUAAUACUGGAUACGAGAAGGGCCCGCAUGGGCACUUUCUGGAAAGUUUUUCGGUUGGGGAUGGGCUCGCGGCCUAUCAGCUUGUUGGUGAGGUAAUGGCUCACCAAGGCGACGACGGGUAGCCGGCCUGAGAGGGCGACCGGCCACACUGGGACUGAGACACGGCCCAGACUCCUACGGGAGGCAGCAGUGGGGAAUAUUGCACAAUGGGCGAAAGCCUGAUGCAGCGACGCCGCGUGAGGGAUGACGGCCUUCGGGUUGUAAACCUCUUUCAGCAGGGAAGAAGCGAAAGUGACGGUACCUGCAGAAGAAGCACCGGCUAACUACGUG
rnacentral:rRNA from 1 species